AUUUAGUACAUUAGAAAACAUAUAGCAAGUUACCAAAUCUAAGAGUUAGAACUGGUCAGACUUCUGCCAAGUUACUUAAGUAAAAGAAUGGGUAACAACAUUAGAAAUUUUAAAAAAGCAUGUAUUCAAAAAAGCUAAAAAAAGGUAGGAAAUAUAGUUUAUAUUAUCACAAAAAACUUUAUUGAAAUGGAUGAUUUUCUAGGAAAUUUAAAAUUACUAAUUUUAAUUUUAGAAUAGUUGAAAAACACAGAAAAUAAAAACAUGUUAAAACAGAUGGUUGUACAGGAAAUUCACUUAAAUGUCUUAAGGAACAGAAAAUGAUCAUGUUAAUAAUCAUAGAUGGAAAACCUACCAAUCAAGCAUAAUCUUUAUAUCAAAAGCUAGCACAAGUGAUGAAUAAAAUUAUAGGUCAAUUUCACAUGUGAACAUAAAUAUGAAAAUGAUUAAAAAAGGGACCCUCCAUUAAAAUUAUAAAAACUAUAUCAUGACCAACAAAGUCUUAGUACUCCAUUUUAAGGAUGGUACCAAAUUAGGAAAUAUAUAAUUAAAACUUAUCACAUCAGGAGGUCACUGGAGAAGAAUCUGUAAUCAUCUACCAAAAAGACAUUUGAUAAAACAUAACAUCCAGUACUGACAAAAACUAUGAUUAAAAUAGGCAUAGAAGGAUAAUUAAUUAUCUCGGUGGUUCUCAACCAGGGACAUUUUUGUCUUGAGGAGACAUUGGCAAUUUCUGGAAACAUUUUCAUUGCCAUGAUUUGAAAAUGGUGCUAUUGAUUGUGAAGAGGCACAGGUCAAGGAUACUCCUUACUAAACAUCUCAAAAUGCACAGGAAAAUGUUUCCCUCCCCCUAUGAAGAAUUACCGAACUCCUAAUAUUGAUGAUACCAAGAUUGAGAGUUGGUUUAUGUGACAGUCAACCUCAUAACUACAAUGAGUACCAUACUAAAAACUGAAAAAUUGCAGGAAUUCUUGUUUCAGCCUUACAAGUCUAGGAUAAUUAUCCAAUGAACAAUAUAAUCAAAGCAAUAAAAAGAAGUGAGGAUUAAGUACUGGAAUGAUCAAAGCAUAGUAUUAUUUUGUGACAAUGUGAAAAAACCCAACAACAUUAUUGGAAAUACUCUUAUGCCAUAUAAAGGAGUUCAAUAAUAUCAAAUCUAAAGUUAGUAUGGGUGGGGGAAUAUAAUAAUACUUUUUCAGAUAAAAAAUUAAUUUAUAAACCCAUGAUGAACAAAAGAGUGAUACAUCAAAAUAAUCAGUUAAAUCAAUGGAAAUAAAGUCAAUAAAUAAGCAUAACUAUAGUAAAAGGGGAUGCACUAAAUAGUACAUAGAAGAAUAGCUUAAUAGCUAGGGAUGUAGCUCAGUGGUGCCAUGCCUGCCUCACAAGUGCAAGGUCCUGAGUUUGAUCUCUGGUACAGGAAAAAAGAAGAAAAGAAAGAAAAAGAAGAAUUUGUUAAAAAGGACAAGAUAUAAUAAUUGUACAUCAUCAUGUGCUUAACAAUAGAGCUUUGGAAAAUAUGAAACAAAACUAAUAGAAAUACAUAAAGAUAGUACAUAUUUGUGGGACAAAUUUCAUACUUCUUGAAGAAAUAAAUAUUUCAAAUAGACAAAACUAACAGUGUAUAGAAUAUAGAUGACAUGACCAAUAGCUUUAUACUAACAAACUUAUAGUGCACAUUCAUUUCAGACACACAUAAAUCAUUCAAACAAAUUGAUAACAGAAGAGAUCAUAAAGGAAAUCACAGCAAAUCUGAAAAAGUAGAAAUUAUAGAGGCUUCUUUAUUCCCUGAAUAAAUGAGAAAAGAACUAGAAGAGAUUAAAUCAAUCACUAUAAAUCAUAUAUAGAAACACUUACCAAAAAAUCUUGCAUUAAUAAGGAAAUGAAAAUUAUACACUACUUAGAAAUAAGCCACUAGAGCAUUAAAUAGUAAAACCUGUGAGAUGUGGCCAAAGCAGUUAUUAAAGGUCAAUUUAUGGACAUAAAUGCAUAAAUUAGAAAAUGAGGGAAAUUGAAAUCAAAUGUACCAAAAUAAUAUUUAGGAUACUAGGAAGAACAACAGAAACAAGAAAAAAAUAUCAAAUCUCCAGAGAGUAGAAGGAAGGACCUAAUGAAGAUUAAAAACUGACAGCAAUAAAAUAAGACCAACAAAGGCAGUGAAAUUGAGAAAAACAUCUUUAAGUUUGUUUAGGAAAAAAGGGUAUAAAUGAAUAGUAUCAUAAAGAGAUAAAAUGGUAUAAUUACAGAUCAGAAGGAAUAGUGUCUUUAUAUCAAUAACUGAGAAAAUAGAUGAAAUACCAAUUUUCUAAAAAAACAUACAAAUUAGCAACAUUAGCUCAAGAUGUAGUAGGCAUCCUAAACGUGCUAUUUCUACUGAUGAUGUGGGAAUGUCAGUUAAAGAUAUUCUUUUAGGAAAACCAUUAAGCUUGGAUGGUUCUAUUAUUUGACUUUAUUACACUUUUAGAAAAUAGAUAAUCAUUAUGUUGUAAAUUGGAAAGUUACCUUCUGAAUUAGUAUAAAUUUGAUAUUACAAUCAUAGCAGAAGCCAAAGCAUUUUUGCUGAUUAUUCUUUCAUGAUAAACAAGAAUCACCUCUUCAAAUAUUUGUUUCCCACAUGAGCUGUAAAAGAAAAAUUAUUAAGGGAAAAAUGUCUAUCAGAAAUCCAUACCAGUGACUAAACUAUGAAGAGUACUUCCAUUCAAAGCAUGACCUAGAGAAGGUUUCCUAUUAGUUCUACAUUGAAUAUUCUAUUGAAGUUCCAACCCCAUGCUAUAUAACAAGAAAAAAUUAAAAAGUCAUGUAGAUAAUGUAAAGAAAGAGAUAAUAGCAUCAUUUUGAUUUUUUUCAGCCAACUUCCCUAAGAAAGGGUAAGAUACAAUCAGUUGAGAAAUCAUUAGAGUUAUUAAGAAAGUUUCAUAUAAUGGCCCAAUACAAAAUAAAUAUAUAAAAAUGGAUAGCUUUUGAUACACAAGUACUAUCUCAUUAGAAAAAGUAAUAGACAAAAUAACCCAAUUUACAUAGCAUGAAAACUACAAAAUAUCUAGAAAAAAACAUUAGAUUAUUGAAAGGCAUAAUAGGCCCAAGUAAGAACCAUCAAGACAUAUUAUAAUCAUAUAUUGGUUCAAGUAGAAUGGUAUCCAUGCUAAAGAUUUGACUAGAGCAGUAUAAUAGUCUGGAAAAAGAUCCCUGUUUAUAUGCAUAUUAUUUUGUGAAAGUAGCAUUUCAUAUUAGUGAGAAAAAGAAUGAAUAAAUAGUAUGAAAAUAUGAGAUACCACUUGGAAAAGAAUCUAUCUAUCAUCUAUCUAUCUAUCUAUCUAUCUAUCUAUCUAUCUAUCUAUCUGUUACGGUACUGGGGAUUAAAACGGGUUUUGGCACGAGUGCACUGAGUUUACAUUUCCAGCCCUUAAAAAAAUUAUUUUGAGGUAGGAUCUGGCUAAGUUGUUCCAGGUUGGGCUGGGAUUUGAGAUCCUCCUGCCUUAGUCUCCCAGUACUUGGAUUAGGGUGUGCACCACUAUACCUUGCUGAAAAAUAUUGUAUUUUUUAAUGUUACUUUACUUGUCAGAGUAAGUUCCAGUGUUUUACAAAAACAAAACCUUUUAGGUUAACUUUUUAAGUUAGUAAAAUAUUAAAUACAUUAGCUAUAGAAGCAAAUAGAAGUCUGUCUCAAUAAAAUUGUAAGGUUCAUAAACAUUGAUCUCCUCGAAAUAGAAAGUAGAAUAUGGCCACUGGAGGCCAGAAUGAGUAGGUGGGAGAGAGAUGGAGGGAGGUUGGACAGUGAGUAUCAAAAUGAAUUUAGUUAGAAGGAAUAAAUUCAAGUGUUUUAUAACUCCAUAGUGUGAUAAAGUUUUAUAUGUGUUUUAUAAAGCACUAGAAGAGAGGAGUUGGAAGUCUACCAGUACAAAGAAAUGAUAAAUGUUUAAAGAGGUUGAAAUGCUAAUUACCCUGGUUUUAUCAUCACAUAUUGUAUCACAUAUCAAAUUGUAACCUUAUACCCCAUAAAUAUGUACAAAAACUUCCAUAUGACAAAAGAUACUAUGAACAAAAUUAAUAGAGUACAUGCUAGUGGAAAUAUUUACAAUAUCUGUAAUAAGCAGAAGAUUAAUAUCUAACAUAUGUAUAAAAUUUGGAAAUAAAAAGUAAAAAUCAUCAACCCAAAAGGAAAAUAAGAAAUGGAUUCUUGUUCUAUUUUUUUCUGCAGUACAGCUUUGCAAUUCUUCCAGGAAAGAUGUGGUGAACUUUGAGUCCUUAAACAAUUUAAAAUGUUUUUCUUUUGCCUUAAGGCUUGACUGAUAUUUUGGAUGGGUAUAGAAAUGUAAAUGUAGUAUAAUUUUCUUUCAAAAUUUGAAGGUGUUGCUCAAAAACAGUCAGAUGUCAGUGUGAUCCUUGUUCUUCUGCAAGUAAACUUUUUUUUCUAAAAAGUUUUUUAAUGUGCUUUCUGAAUUUCAGAGGGAUAACUUUGUAACUUUCUCCUGUUACCCUGCUUGGUAUUUAUGGAUUUUAUUGUUAACUCAAAGACUUUAUUUUCUUCUUCAGGUCUUGAAAAUUUUCAUUUAUUAGUUCUCUGAUUUUUUUUCCUUUCUGCCAGUCUAUUUUUUCCCAUUACCUCUCUGGGAUUUAGAUUUCAGGACUUUUGAAUUUACCUUCCAAGUCUCUUUUGCUAUGUCUCUGUCUCUGUUUUUCCCUUCCUUUCUCCUUUCCUUAGUUAAUUCCUUCCUUCCUUGGUAUAAUUUUGUCCUGUGUUUUAUUUUGGGGAAAUCAAUAUUCUACCUCAUUAAUUUACCCUUCAGCUAUGCCCAUUAGCUAUUUAACCAAGUGUCAUUUUCUUUUAAAACUGAACUGUCAUACUUUUUUGUCUUUGGGAUUUUAAAUUGUUUUUUUUUUUUUUUUGGUACCAGGGAUUGAACUCGGGUCCUUGCACUUGCGUGCCAGGUGGUGAAACCACUGAGCUAAAUCCCGGGCCCUUAAAUUGACAUUUUAAAAAUUAAUUUUAUUGGUACAUUUUAGGUAUACAAUAUAAUAACACUCAUCAUUGGAGAUUUGUACCUUUACAUAAUAUAUCUUGAUUCUUAUUUUAAAUUGAUUUUUGAAAUAGCCUACUUCACAGUCCAAAGAUAUCAUUAUAUUUUGUUAUUACUUUACUUGAAGUUGAAUCCUAUAUACUCUAUUGACUCAAUUGACACUACUGAUAUUUUAAAAAAUGUGUUGAAUAUGGCACCCAUGAACUAGGUUCACAGCGCACUGGGUACCGCUUCGGCCUGCUGUAUCUUGGGCUGUAAUUUCCAUUACUUGUAUGAGUUUGGUGAGAAAGAACUUAUACAACAUUUUAAGCAGAGCAACUUUAUUACAAAUAUAGGCAACAGAUGAUAGUAGAAGGCUAAGGAAAGUUGCUCUGAGAAGACAGAAUCUCACCUGUGUUCCCACCUUGCCAAACAGCUGAGAAACCCUAGAAAUCAGCCCCCUGUGCUUUAUCCCUGGGGUAACAUGACUAGCAGGGAUGAAGCAGUUUCUACGUGUCUCAGAAUGUUGAAUUUCCAGUACAUUCUGCAAUUAUUCUAAAGAACUACAAGCAAGAAAGUUGGGGAAACCGAGUUAGUCCAAGAAAGACCCUCCCCAAAGAAUUAUCCUACAUUCACUGACUGGGAUAGAUUUCCUAAAUGUUCAGUUGUCCUUGGCAAUAUCAUUGUUUUUAUAAUUAAGAACCUCAGUUAAUUUUUUCCAUAAUUUUAGAUGUAUAGCUUGAUCAGUUUUGACAAACGUAUCCAAUUAGGUAAAUAUCAAUACAAUCAAUGGAGACAUUAUUUGUAUUUUGCCAAAUUUCUUUUCUGCUCCUUUUUAGUAAUUCUGCUCCCCAUAUAUUGGCAACCACUUAUCUGUUCAUACUUCCUCUAGUUCUGCCUUUAUACUUCUGAGUCUGGCUUCAUUCGUUUAACUUAAGACUUUGAGCUGCUUCUAUAUUGUUGCAUUUAGAAUUCCAUUGUAUGGAUAUAGUACUACAAUUUGUUAAUGUGUUCACCAGUUGAUGGGCAUUUGGAUUGUUUCAGUUUUUGUGAUUACAAAUAACUGCAUAUGUCUUCAUUUCUCUGGUAAAUAGCUAAGGUGUAGAAUCGCUAGAGCAUAUAGUGAGUAUAUGUUUAACUUUAUGAGAAGCGUUAAUAUUUUCCUACUGACUAUGCUUUACAAAAAACUUUUUAUUUUGAGGUAAUUGUAGAUUCAUGUGCAGUUGUAAGAAAGAAUUCCAUGUUUCUUUUACCCAGUUUUUACAAUAGAAACAUGCUACAUAUCUGUAGUGGAAUAUAACCACCAACAUAUUGACAUUGAACUAAUCAGGAUGCAGGAUAGCUGCAUACCAUGAAAAUCCUCCUGACGUUCUUCUCCAUCCCCAGGGUCCUAGAUCCCACAGUCACUAAUCUAUGCUCCAUGUAUUUGUUAAAGAUGUCCAUAGAGAAUGCUAUAUAAUGGGAUGAUACCAUGUUACACUAACAGACUCAUAGAUAACAUUGUCGGGGAUUUAUCUUUCUUCAUAUAGCAUAAAUUCCUGGAGAUGUACAAAAGUUGUUGUAUGUCAUCAGUUGCUCACUCCUUUUUGUUGCUGAGUAGUUUUCCACAGUUUGCUUAACCAUUCACCUAUCGAGGGGCAUCUGGACUGUUUCCAGUGGGUGAUCACAAAUAAAGCUUCUGUAAACAUAUCUCUACAGGUUUUAUGUGACCAUAAGUUUUCUCUGUCUGGGAUAAAUGCCUGAGAGUACAAUUGCUGGAUCAUAUGGGAGUUAUAUAUUUAGUUUCUUAAAGAAACUGCCAAACUGUUUUUCCAGAGUGCCUUACCAUUUUGUAUUCUCACAAACAAUGCAUAAGUGAUGUAGUUUUUCUGAAUCCUCACUAGCAUUUGGUGGUGUCAUUAGUUUUUAUUUUGGCCAUUCUGAUAGGUGUGUAGAGACCUUUCAUUACAGUUUUAAUUUACAUUUCCUUUGUGGCUAAUGCUGUUGACUGGAUUUGACAUCUGUACACUCUCUUCAAUGAAAUGUCUUUCUGUCUUUUAUUCAUUUUCCAAUUUGGUAAUUUGUAUUUUGACUGUAGAGCUCCAAGGGUUCUUUCUAUAGGUUAGAUGUUAGGACUUUGUUGAAUAUAUUUGUUAGAAAUAUUUUCUCUCAGUCUGCGGCUUGUCUUUUCACCCUCUUGAUAUGAUUUUUUUGAAGAGCAAAAUUUAAAAUUUUGAUGAAGUACGUGUUAUCAAUUUUUUUUCUUUUAUGAUCAUGCUUCUGGUGUCGAGUCCAAGAACAUUUUGCCUAGUCCUAGGUCCUGAAGAUGUUCUUUUAUUUUCUUCCUAAAAGUUUUAUAGCUUUACCUUUUACAUUUAAGUCUGAGACUGUGAUUCAUUUUGAGUACUUUUUAAAAAAAAGUAUAAGACUUGAAUUGGGGCUCAUUUUUUUCCUGUACAAAUAUUUAUUUGUUCUAGCACCACUGAAUUGCUUUACAUCUGUAUCAAAAAACCAGUUAUAUAUAUUUGUGUGGAUCUAUUUCUGGCUUCCUUACUCUGUUUUCUGUGUCUCCCUGUAUCAAUAUCACAAUAUAUUUAUUGCAUUAGUGGUGAAGUAAACUUUGAUGUUGGGUAGAGUGAUUCUUCAUUCUUUUAAAAAGUUUUUCUUUAUUCCUUUUCAAGAUUGUUUUGAGUUUCCUAAGAUUUGUGUUUGUCCAUAUAAACUUUAGAACAAGCUUGUCCAUGUCCAGAAAAAUCCAUUACGCUAGCAUGAUAGAAGUUGCAUCUAAACUGUAAAUUGUUUUGGAGAGAUCUUUACUAUGUUGAACCUUACAAUCCAUGGUACUGGUAUAUCUCUAUAUUUACUUAGGUUCAUUUUGAUUUCAUUCAUUAGUAUUUUAUAAUUUUCAGCAUACAGGUCAUAUACAAGUUUUGUUAAGUUUUUAUCUAAAUGCCAUUUUUUUUCUGGAGAGAUUCCAAGUAAUAUUAUGUUUUAAACUUCAGUUACUUCAUAUCUGGGUGUAAGUGCACAGAAACACAAUUGAGUUUUGUUUGUUUGUCUUUUAUCUUGUGACCUUGCUAACUCAUUCAUUAAUUAUAGGUCUGUUUUUAUGAAUCCCUUUGUAUUUUCUACGUAGAUAAUUACGUUGUUUUCAAAUAAGAAUGAUUUUAUUUUUUCUUUCCAAUUUGUGUUAUUCUCAUUUCCAUAUUGCAGCAGCAGAAUGUCUAGUGCUGUAUUCAAUAAAGGUGGUAAGAGUGACUUUUGCCUCAUUUUUGGCCCUACAGGGAAGUAGUAGGUGUUUUACCAUUAAGUGUGGUGUUAUUAUAGAGUUUUUUUUUUUUUUUCCAGUACUGGGAAUUGAACUCAGGACCUUGUACUUGACAGGCAGGCGUGGCCCCACUGAGUUAAAUCCCUAGCUCUAUUGUAGUGGUUUUUUGUGGAUGCCCCUUAUCAAAUUGAGGUGGUUCCCCUCUAUUCCUAAAUUGCUGAGAAUUUUUGUUCUAAAUGAGUAUUAAAUCUUGUCAAAUGUUUUUGGUUUAUCAAUCUAUAUGAUCAUAUAAUUUUUCUUCUUUAACUUGUUGAUAUGACAAACUGCACUGAUGGAUUCCAGCCUUGCAUACCUGGAAUCAAUUGCCUUUGGCCAUGGGAUAUGAUUAUUUUAAUACAUAAUUAGAUUUGAUUUGCUAAUAUUUUGUUGAAGAUUUUUGUGUCUAAAUUCAUGAGAAGUAUUAGUCUGCAAUUUUUUAUUUUUCUUUUGAAAAGUUUCUUGUAAGGCUUUGGUAUUGGAUAAUACUGGGUCUACAAAAUGGGUUGGGAAAUAUUCUAUCCUUUUCUGUUUCUAGAGUAGAUUAUGUAAAGUCAGUGUUAUUGAUGUUAAUUUUUCUUUAAAUGUUUGGGAGAAUUCUCCAGUAAAACUGUGAGAGCCUGGAGAUCGACUCUUUCCUUCCCUCUCCCUCUCCCCUACCAUUUUCUCUGUUUCUUUCAAAAGGGAAGAUUUUAAAGUAUGAACACAACGUCUACAAUGGUUAUAGGUCUAUUCACGUUAUGUAUUUGAUUUGAUUGAGUUUUGUUUAUGAGUUUGGAAGAAUUGGUCCAUUUCUCUCUCAGUUGUCAAAUUUAUGAGGAAAAAAUUGCUUGUAGUUGUCAUUUUUAAAAUGGUUCCAAGAUCUGUGGAGAUACUCUUUCUUUCAUUCCUGAUACUGGUAGGUCAUAUUUUCCUUCUUUUUAUUUUUGAUUCUUACUACAGGUUUAUUGAUUUUUGUCAAUUCUGUCAAUCUGUUUUUGUUUUAUGGAUUUUCUCUAUUGUUAGCCCACUUUCAUUGAUUUCUUCUUUGUUACUUAUUUAUUUUUCUCUGUUUUAUUUUUCUUUUUGCAUUUCUGUUUUUCUUUAUUCAGGAAGACAUAUAGAUUAUAGAUUUUAGGCCUUUCCUCUUUCCAAUAUAUGAAUUUAGUACUAUAAAAUUUCCUUCUAUCGGUAGUAUUACAUUAGCUGUGUCCCAUAUAGUUUGAUAUGUUGCAUUUUCAUUUUAUUCAGUUAUGUGCUAUUAAAAUUAAUUUCCUUUGAGGCUUUGUCAUUGACUAAUGGGUUAUUUAGAAGUGUGACAUUUAAUUUUCUAUUGUUUAAAGACAUUUCCAUUGUCUUUUUACUUUUUCUCAUGUCCAGUUUGAUUUUGCUAUGGUCAAAAAACAUAUAUAUAAUUUGUAUAAUUUAAAUUCUUUUAUAGUUAUUGAGGUUUGUCUUAUGGUCUUGGUUUAUCUUGGUAAAUCUUUCAUAGGCCUUUGAAAAUGGGGUGCAGUAUUAUAUAUAUAGUUGACUCUUUCUAUCAAUGGGUUCUGCAUCUGUGAAUUUACCCAAACAUGGAUUGAAAAUAUUUAAAAAAAUUGUAUCUGUAUUGAACAUGUGCAGACCCUUUUCUUGUUAUUACCUGAUUAUUCUCCAGACAGUAAAGCAUGGCAAUAAUUUAUAUGACAUUUAUAUUGGAUUAGGUAUUAUAAGAAAUCUAGUUAUGAUCUGAAGUACAAGGGAGGAUAUGUAUACACCUUACAUAAAUUCCAUACCAUUUUAUACAAAACACUGGAGCAUUCAUGAAUUUUGGUGUGUGUAGGAUUCCUGGAACCAUUCCCCCAUGGAUACUAAAGGUCAACUAUAUAUGCUAAUAAGAUCUUGAUGAUCGAUUGCUUUGUUCAGAUCACUACAGUUCUUUCUGAUUUUCUGUGUAGUAGUCCUAUCAGUUGUUGAGGGUGUGAAUUUCCCCAACUAUAACUGUGGAUUAUCUUUUUGUAUAUUCACCUCUAUCAGUUUUUGUUUCAUGUAUUUAGAGCUUUGCUUGUUGUGUACAUAUCUACAAUGUUAUAUCUUCUUGGAUAAUUGAUUUUGUUAUUCAUCCCUUUUUGUCGAGCAAUUUUCUGAGGUCCAUUUUAUUGAUACUAAUAUAACCACUCAUGAUUUUUAGAAAUUAAUAUUUUAUUUUUUUAUCUUCUUAUUUUCAACAUAUUUAUGUUGUUUAAUUUGAAAUAAGUUACUUAUAAAAAGCAUGUGGUUGGGUCAUGAUUAUUUUAGGCACUCAAUCAUUGACUUUUAAUUGGUAUAUUUGGCCACUUUAUUUUAUUUUGUUUUUUCUUUCCUCUUUUUCUCCACACUUGUCUCUGUGUGGGUGACUUAAAAAUGUUUAAGUUUAAAUGUUUAAUGAUCUUGAUUUAUAGUAGUUUUUCAUAUAAAAUUUUGUAUAAUUUUCUUUUUUGUUGCGAUGAAUAUCAGAACAUCAACAUGUGAUUUAUCGCUAAUGUAGACUAUUAUAUCAACAUUUUAUCAACUGAGUAAAUACUGGAAAUUUUACAUUUAAGUCCUUUUAUGAAAUAACCUAACUUUUAAAUAUCAUGUCUUGUAUAUAUUUUUAUUCAGUGCCUUUUGUUUUUUUUUGGUACCGGGGGAUCGAACUCAGGUCCUUGCGCUUGCGAGGCAGGCGGUGGAACCACUGAGCUAAAUCCCCAGCCCUUGUAUAUAUUUUUAAAAAUAGUUUUUGUUGCAAUUGUCAUAUGUGAUUAAAAAAAAACCGUGAAAGAAGCAGGGUAUAUUGUAUUUAGCCACGCUGUGGUCUUUCUAUUUUUUGUUUUCUUCCUUCUUGAUGUUCUGAGAUUUGUUCUAUUGUUGUUUCAUUUCUAUUUGAAGAAUUUCACGUAGACAUACUUUAUGGGUGGGUCUGUUCUUUUAAGUUCUUUUAGUUUCCUUUCCUCUGAGAAUUUAUUUCUCCAUUAUUCCCAAGGGAUAGUUUUGCUGGGAAUGGACUUCUUAGUUAAUAAGUCUUUUAGCAGUUGAAAAAUGUGCUAUGUUUUUCUGGUCUUCGUGAUUUCAAAUGGGAAAUCUUAUGACAUUCAAUUUGGUGUUUUCCUUAGGUAAUAUUUUUAUUUUUCUCUUGCUGAUCUCCAGAUUUUCCUCAGUCUUUCUUUUCAAAAGUUCCAAUAUGUUGUGUCUUCCUCUGACCUAUUUUUGGGUUUAACUCUUCGAGGUUUGUUGCAUUUUUGAAUCCGUGUGCUUAUAUCUUUUGCUAAAUCUGGGAGAUUUUUAGCUAUUUCUUUGAAUGUUCUUUGAGUACCACUCUACUUGUCAUCUUCAGGGACACCAAUGAUGCAUUGUUGAGUCUUUGGUUAUUGUCCACAAGUCUCUGUUAAUUUUUUCAAUUUAGUUUUUUCAUGUUGUUCAGAAUGGGUAGAUUCCAGUGGUCUUUCCUCAGGUUUACUGACUUUCUCUGCCAUCUCUAUUAAAUAUUGAGUUUACCUAGCAAGUUUUGUAUUUCAAUUAUUGAAUUUUCCAUUUCUGUAAUUUAUAUUUCAUCCUUUUAAAUGAGCUGUAUUUAUCUACUCAAUUUUACUGACUGUUCUAACUUUUCAUUUGUUUCAAGACCAUGUGUAAUUUCUUGUGGAACCACUUUUGUGAUGCUUAUUAUUGUCAGUCCAUUUCAAUAUCAGGCUUACUGCAGUAUUGGCAUUUGUGGAUUGUCUUUCAUUCAAGUGGUGAUUUUGAUGGCUGUUGAUAGGAUAAGUGACUUUUGAUUGUAUUCUGAAAAUUUUGGCUUUUAUUUUAGAAGACUCUGGAUCCUAUUUAAACUUUUAUGUGAACAAGCAGUCGGUAUGUUUAGGUUAGGUUUAUUUUACAGGCCCUAGUCUACUUUUAGGGCUGUGGUUUAAUUUUUAGAGUCAAUGUGGUGUUAUUUUGGUACUGGUCCCUGCUUAUUCUUGAAUGGGAAGAAAAAUUUCCCCAGGCUGGGACUUCUGAUAAAUCCUUUUGGAGAAGGGUCUCUUACAUAGACAAAGAACACCUCCCAGACUGGAACUUGGGUGAUGGGUUCCCCAUAUCUGUGGGGGAUGGAGAGAGCUUCUUGGACCAUGUGACUGUUAUGAAAAGAUCCCUUACGACUUCAUAGUGUCUCUGAGUGGUAGAAGAGAAUCUAGACCCUGUGAGGAGAAAGAUUUAUUGUUGGUCUAGGGUUACAUUUUAUGCUAUGAACCCCUUGGUAGUGCCUCUAGGUGGGGGUUGCACAGUGUCUUUGAGUGGUGGGUGGGAGUCUCAGGCCUAACACCUCAGUUAGUUUUUAAUCUUUUGCUGCUGCUGGCCCCCAUGUAUGGAGGGUGGGGAGCCGAGCCAUGUUGAGUGAGCAUUGUCCUAUCUUCCUGGGUUAGACACUCAUGAACAUUGCCUGUUCUCUGAAUAUAUGCUGCUUGACACAUUGGCCACUGGAAAGAAAUAGUUGGGGGCAACCCACCUGGCUUCUCCUAACAAAGCUCUUCUAGAAUAAACAUGCAUUCUCCUAACAUGUUCUGCAGGUGCUCAGGGUGUCCCACCUAAGCCUGGCACUUCUUUGGCCCUCCUCACAUCAUUUUUUGUCGUUCUUUUCUGAGUAUAUGUUUUCUUUCUCAAUCAACUUUCAUCUUCUCUUUAUAUUUCAAGACGUCCUCAUGCCUUUGGGUCUACUAAAGAGACCCCUUUCUGUAUUUCAGGGGAGAGUAGAAGGGUACUUAUGCCAGGUGUCACAUGUCACUUACCGAUGGUGAUACAUUCUGAGAAGUGUGUCAUUAAAUUAUUUUAUAAUAUGAAUAUUAUAGAGUCUACUUACACAAACUUGGAUGAGUAUAGUUUACUGAUACCAAGGCUAUUUAAUAUAGCCACACAUAUGUUGGUUAUAUCUAAUCAGGUCAACAGACACACACACAGAGACACACACACACACAGAGAGAGAGAGAGAGAGGGAGGGAGAGAGAGAGAGGCAGAAAGACGUAGAAACAGAGCAAUAGACUGAAAAUACAAUUUACUGCUAUCAUUGUUAAAAGAUACGCAGUUCAUGUUGGACUGAAAUGUCAUUACAUUUCAGACUUUGAGAGUAGAAGUUUAGCUUCCCAUCUUCACUUAAUCUCUUUUUCAAAGUCUGUUUUCUCAAACUUUCUAGAAUAAACACGCAUUACUUUGAUAUCAGUGAAAUCCAUAAAAUGAUGAAAAAUCUUUCCCAUUUUCUUGGCUCUGUGUUGCACAUUCUGCUAGGGGUACAGGCUCAGUGCCUUCCUCUUGAGGAGCUCACAGUGAGGGGGAAAUGCGUGUUCUUUGGAAAAUGUCCCCCAGGCAGUGGAAGGAAUAUCUAUGCUCUUGGGGGCAUGGAGCUGGGGCUUCCAGCUGCAGAGCUGGGCUCAUCCUCUGAAAGGGUGUGUGCAACUGUUGAAGGUUGCUCCCGAGUCUCACAGGAGGGGCUAAUCCUUCCCCUUCUUCAAAUUGCCAGUGUGUGCAAAAUGCUAACACUACACAUUUAAGUGACGUAUAGAUCAGAACAGAAUCAUAGCUUGAUGACAUAAAUUAAAGUAAUUAUAUUCAUUAGCAUGAUAAAAAAUAUGCAAACAAAUGUUUAUUAAAUGCAACCAUACAUCAACUCCAAAGGCUUUGGCGUUGUUUAUGUCUUUGUUGCUUCAGCAUUUUGUCAAAGGUGGCCUGUCAUGCUGAACUUAAUUGACACUAAUAAAAGCGGAGGGAGGAGGAGCCAGCCCAGAAUGUCAUUUGGCUGUGUAAGCUCAGGAGGGUUGAGGAUUUGCCUCCAGGCCUCACUGAGUCUUUCUGCCACUGGCCCUCACGUAGGCUUGGAGAAGGAAGUCCAGGUCUCCUCAUGUUUAAUGGAGGCAGCACUGCCAACCUUAUCGAGAUAUUUGAGGAUGCACACCCAAGGGUCCAGAGUCCCUUUCUCCUACUAUCAGCACCUGAUCAGAUAAAAGGGACCGUUUUCUGUAAGGGUUAGAUAUGUCUUCCCAGCAGCUGUUGUCCCCUCUCUGGCAAGUGGAAGUGCUUGCCUGUGCUCAAGAUGGGAGUAGCAAGGCUGUGGUACACUUGUGUUGGGUGCUGGCUGGUGAACCUGGCAGGCUGCUCUGACAAGGCAUCUUAUUUUCCCUGAAAGCAUCCGAAUACUACCUAGAAGCCUACUCACAAAAAGAGCAGCCUUAGCUGUGAUGCUCAAGUUCACCGAGGGACUUGCUUUGCCAUGAGAACUGGUAUAUCACAGAUUUGCCUCUGAGCGAAGGCCCUGUCCAAUGGGCACAUGGCCAGUAAUUAUUACCAUUGUUUACCAAGCCCUGAAGAGUGUUUAGAAAGAGCCAGGCUGGAAGCAAUUUGAGCAGUCUGUCUGUCUUCUGUCCAGUGUGUGUUGAGUGUAGCUCAGGUGGAGAGUGAAGACCAUGAGGAAAUGUGGAGAGGGAGAUAUGGACAAUAAGCAAGGCAGAUGGUCUAGGGAAGAGAUCAGAGCUGGUCAUUGCUUUCCCUCAGCUUUAUUUUUCUACCUCUGUGUUAUACUUCAAGUUCUAUGAAAACCUUAGUCAGCCUUAGUCAGGAGGAUUUGGCUCUGGUUGUGGACAGUUUGGAGUAUCAUUCAGUCCCAUCCAUCUUGGGGACCUGUUUAUCUCCUAGUCAAGGGGCAGUUGAGCGACUUACUAUGCCACAUCUUGGAUUUGUCUUUUCCGAUUCUUGUCUCUGAUGACCAUUAGGCUCUCUGUCCAGUUUGACUUUUUGGGUCUCACCAGUGCUCCUACAUCUGCCCUUUACAGGAAAAAGAUGUUGUAGAGAACAAGGCUUCUUCAUCUUUAGAAGAUUCCUUCCAUCUUGAAAAGGAAGUAGAAAUGGAAAUGCUGAGAUUCAGAUGUCUGGAGUCACCAUGACCCCCAGGUAGGGACAGCAGAGGCCCUGACAGUUUACUUGGACUUCUGGGAGCACCUCAGGGAUGACCACUGCAAAUCCUCAUUUCUCCUUCCCUUAAAAAGGGAGCCUGGGUAAUUUAUUUCCAUGGGGAUGGUUUAUAUGGGGAGGAAAAGAACAGAUGUUAAGAAAACAAAGGAAGGCACACCACGACUUUUGUUUCUGAGCCAGUGGUGAUCAAUUUUGUAUACUUUAUUGCCUGGUCCAUGUUUUGGGGAUGGAUAUUUCAAGCCAUUUCAAUCAAAAGUAGGGCUACUCUAGGCUCUAAACAAAGGCCUAGAUUUAUUUUUUUUUUGGCAGCACAAUCCUCAAAGAUUACACUUGCUGCAACAUUUUUAGCCACGUCAACAUUCCUUAGGAAAUACAAAUAUGGGCAUUAUUUCAUGGAGAUGGCACUGGGUAAUAUAAUAAAAUGGAUUUAUUUCAUCUUAAUUUAUUUAAAAUGUGCAUAGACAGAACUGGGAUAAAAUCCAUGAGAUGAAAUAUCUACUUUGCAUGAAUAUAUUGAAAAAUUCAGCCACCUUCUAAGCCAAAAAAAAGAGGCAACUUUUUUUUCUCUCCUCAGAAUAAUAAGAAGAAAAGGUACUCUUUUUAAAACAAGAAAAUACAACCUUGACAGAGAGAAGUGAUUCAUGCCUAAUGGUUCCUGUGAAGGUGUGAGGGAUGCAGGAAUAAACCAAAGAACAGGAGGCUGGGACCCCAACAGAGAGUAUGAGCCCAGGCUGACAUUGCCCUUCAACACCACCAAGUCCAGUGCUACUAAGUCUUGACCCUUGAGUCCCUGGGGACUGCCCAGAAUAGGGCUUUGUCUCUUCUGCAUAAAGAAGGUAAGUUUGCAGGCUUUGUCUACCCUGACAAAGCUACCUCCAUUCUUUCUCUCCCUAGGACACCUAAGCAGAUCCAGGUAGGAUUUCACAGGCUGUCCUCUGCUGGGACUCAAGGUCACGACUGGUGCCCAGUAUCCUGAGGGUCCACUUGGAGAAAGUGAGGCUGAGAAAGGGGAGUAGCUUUGCUUACUGUCUCAUGAUCAAUUAAUGGCAGAGUGAAGGCCACAGAGUGGUUACUCACCAUUCAGCCUGGUAGGAGACAGAAACCAGCAAUGCAAAGAAUGAAGACCAGGGUUUUAAAAAAAUAAUGUAAUAGUUUCUUAUGAUUUCAAGACUUAUUAUGCCUUACGGUGUUUUCUCUUAGAUCCUAAUGUUUUCCCUGGGUCUUGUGCUUUGAUGUGGGAAGUCAACUCUUUUUAGAAUGAAGUCAGAUCACAUGGAUUCCUCUGUGCUUUCCCUCCUCCCCCCAAAUAACCAAACUGAAAAAGACAUAACAAUCCUUUGAUUUGUUCUAUCACUCCCCAAGCUGCUUCUCCCUCUGCUGCUUCAGGGAAAGGACCACAGCCUAGCAGCAGACAAAAAUCAGAAAAGCUAUAUGAUGACACUGGAACAUCUCGGGGCCCAGGGUUGGUAAUUUAUGAAGGAUUUAGUUGAUGCUUCUGACAGUGAUAAGUUUUCAGUCUCAGUCUGUGUGAACUGGAAUAGCUCACUGUGGACAUUUUGGUCCUGCCUGCCCCACUUGGCUGAAUUUGGGGACCACCCAAGGAAUGUAUGCUCACACUGCCAUCCUGGAGCCUCUUUUAAAGCCUGGGUUUUGUGGCAAAGGGAGCAAGAGGGAAGAUCUGAUCUGCAGGGGCCAUCUCAACUGGGAGGGACACUUGGGCCACCUAGCACUUGCCAGGGCAGCUUUACAUGUCUGGAGGGUCCAUUCUAGGUGGUCACGACUCUGGUUACCUGAACACCCUCUUUUCCUCACUCUUUCCCAGAUGUCUGAUCAGCUAUAGGGCUCCAAAGCAGGUGUCUGGCUGCCUGGUUCUGUUAGCCAAACAACUCUGAUGAACACAACAAACAGGCUCUUGAUAAUCUAUGCUGUGGUGGGCCCUGCACACCUUCCAUUAAUAUAGUGAUGGUGUUUUCCUAUUGAGAUCAGACCCAAGUGGGGUGGGAGGCCAGGCUGAGCAGCCAGUGUGUGCUGAUUUAUGGAAACAGAAGGCCCAGGAUGUCCAGAGCUCCAGAUAUGAAUUCCACACAGGUGUACCUCAGUUGCUCAAGUCCAGUCCUUGGUAGUGGGGAGCUGCUGCUUUGACCAAUAGGGGUGAGUGUGAGCUCCGAUAGGAGAAAUCAUAGCACUUGCAGUUCUCAACCGGGGGAGAUUUUGGGCUUAUUCUGGUGUGUACUGAGCUGGGGUGUAGACUGGGUGAUUUAUUAUGCAAACUCAGAAACUUUUGAGAGUGAUAAUUUUUAGAGUUAGAGAGGUAUAUGCUAAUUAAACGAGGACUGUCGCUGUGUAACUAGAAAUAAAUGAUUUUGGUGUGGAUCAAUGAUUAUUUUGAUCACCUCUGCUGCCUCUGUCUUAAGAAGUUAGAAUCUGGUACCGUCAUGAACAUGGAGGGCCUAUGCCAGUACACUGGGGCUUUCAGGGUAUUUUAUGACUUUUAUGGCUUGGGCCAUCAAAUGACUUGCUCCAGCAUGUGGAGCUUGGGGUCUUGUGUGUGUUGUCUCUACCUGGGUGGAAUAAAGUAUUUUUUGGUAGUGCUGGAAUUGAACCCAGGGCCUGAUGCAUGGUAGGCAACUGCUCUGCCUCUGAGCUAUGCUUACAUCCUCUAAUAGUGAGUUGGAAACCUGUGCUGGGAGUUCUUUGCCUACCAUUGAUUAUAAUUGCCUCAACAGUAGGAUCUCUGUUCAUGGUUUUUAGGGUCAGACAUCCUAGGUUUUUGUUCUGGGGCACUUGUUAGCUGUGACCCAAAUCAAGUUACUCAGUUUAUUUGAGCCUCGGUUUUCGCAGCCAUUAAAUGGGGAUAUGAAUGGAACUAGCAGGAUGUAGGAGGAUUAUUGUGAUAAUUGUGAUGUGUUCUUGUAAGUCAUGCUGAAUUGUUGCUUAGGGUAGUGUCUCAUUUUUAGAAGUUGUUCCACUUUUAUACUUAAAGAAAAUAUAACUUACUUGUUUUCCUUUAUGUUUACUUUCUUGUUUUGGUUUGAUCUUUGUGUUUUGAGACAGAGUCUUGUCUUGAACUUGCUAUGUAGUCCAGACUGGCUUUGAACUUGCAAUCCUCUUGGCUCAGACACUCAAGAGCUACGAUUAUAGGGAUGUGCCAUCACACCUGGCUUAUGUUUAAUUAAAUUAGGUAAUUAAAAUACAUAUGAGUCAUUUUUCAUGCAUAUAGGAUACAUAUAUAAUUAAUCAAAUUAAAUAUGAACAUUUAUCGAAGUAUUUGGAUCUGCUAUGCCUCCCAAACUCAUGCUGAAACUUGGUUUCUGUUGUGGUAGGUCUUUGGACUGGGAUAAGGCCCUGAAGUCUCCAUCUUUAUAGGUGAAAUUGAGGUGGUUACAAAAGGUGAGUUCAACUCCCCUUUGCCUUUGUAUUUUACUCUUUCAUGAUGCAGCAAGAAGGCCUUGGCAGAUGGUAUAGCACCUUGAUCUUGGACUUCUCAGCUUCUGUAAUUGUUUGCCAAAAUAUUUCUGUCCAUUAUAAAUUACUCAAUAUCAGGUAUUUUAUUAUAGUAGACGAAAUAGACUAAGUUCGAAAUUGGUACCAAGAGUGGGCUUGUUGCUGCAACAAAUAACUAAAAAUAUGAAAAUGGCUUUGGAAGUGAGUAAUGGGUAGAAGCUGGAACAGUUUUUGAAGUGAAUGCUGGAAAGGGCUUGCAUUUUUCUGGAGAGAGCAAUAAUGGGGAUUCUGGUGAGUGCUCAGAAGACAACAGCUGUGGGGAAAGACUGGAAGUUCUUAGAAAUUACUUAAGUGGUUACCACCAGAAUGCUGGCAGAAAUAUGGGCAGUAAAGUCCAUUCAGAUGAGAUCUUAGACAGAGCUUAGGAAUGGGGUAUUGAAAACUGGAGGAAAGGCUAUCCUUGGUAUAAAAUGGCAGAGAGCUUGGCUGAAUCAUGUUUAUGUUCUAGAAUUUUAUGAAAGGCAGAACUUAAGAUUAAUAUACUAAGAAAUACAAAGUCCCCAGCCUGUAUAUAUAAAGAAGGAAAAAGUAUGUUUAGGAGGGAAUACCAAGAACAUGGUCAGGAUAACCUUUAUUCUUCUUACUAAAGAGAUAGUAAGGGUAGAAGGGAGCGAGCUACUGUUCAUCAAGACAAUGGGAGAAGAACCACAGAGGCAUUUUGAAGAUCUUUAGGGGUGUCCAUCCCUUCACAGGCCCGGAACUCUCUGGUCCUGAGAGCAGAAUGGUUUAGGAGGAUGGGCCUGGGGUGCCCACCAUGGGUUUGCUGCGCUGUGUUGCCCUGGUAUGCUGCUCCCUACACUGCAGUGCAAUGAUCCUCAGCUGCCCCAGUUGUGGCUCAAGUGGGCCCAGAUGUGAUUUAUGCUGACAGAGGGCUUGUUCCAGAGGACUCAAGUGGUGAUUCUAGUGGUGUCCACCAGGUUGCUACUUCUGCAGGUUUACAGAGGCAUGGCUUUCUCUACCUUGAUUUCAAGCGCAUCAUGGACAGCUUUGGAGCCAAGACAGAGGCUUGUUAUGGAGGUGGAGCCUGCAGAGAGCCCCCAAUAGGACAAUGCUCAGUGGAGCCUAGGAGAGGGUCUACCCUGAGACCCCAAAACUGCAGAGCCACCAGUAUUGAGCACCAGUGUGGGAAUGCUGCAUGUACCAGACUCCAAUCUGUGAGACUGACAUGGGUGGAGCUCAGGAAGGCCAUGCAGGGGGAGCUGCCCAAGGCCUGGGAGGCCCAACCUUGCCCCCAGUGUGCCCAGAAGAUAGGGCAUGGAAUAAAGGAGAUUCUUCUCAAGACUUUUAGUUUAAUAUUUUCUUUGUUGGGUUUUGGACUUACUUGGGAUCUAUCUCCACUUUCUUCUUGUCUUUUUCUUUCUUGUUCUGCCUUUGCAGUUUGAAAGCAUGGCACGUAUGACUUCACAGGCACACUGUUGGAGGGGAAUUUGCCUCAGAUGAACAGGACCUUGAAUUUCACCCAUAUGUGAUUCAGAGACCCUGGACUUUGGACUUUUGGAUUAAUUUGGGAUGUAUUAAGAGUCGUGGGGCUAAUGGGAUAGAAUGAAUGUGUGUUUUGUUUGAGAACAAUAUGAGUUUGGCUGGGGCAGGAAUGAAACAUUAUAGUCUGAAUGUUUGUGGCCUCCCAAACUCAUGGUAAAAUUUGGUUGCUGUUGUACCAUGGAAGGUGAUAGGGAUCAGUGUCAUUGUAAAAGGAGAUUUGGGGCUCCUUUUAUCUCUUUGCUUUCUGCCUUCCACCCUGUGAAGACAAAGCAGAAGGCUCUUGACUUCCCAGCCUCCAGAACUGUGAAUCAAUAAAUUUCCAUUCAUUAAAAAUUACUUAGUGUCAGAUAUUCUAUAAGUACUAUUAAUAAAUGUACUAUUUAACAAAAACAGGGUGAGAGAGAAAUGGAUCCAGGUUGCAGUGUGGUCAUGCAGUUUAAAAUUAGGUGGUCACUGUGAGCCCUAUUGAAAAAUGGCAUUUGGGCAAAGGUUGGAAUGGGGUGAAAGGCUUGGGGUGUCCCUCCUGCCCCCAGAGAUGACUCCUUUCUUCAGUCAUGCCUGGGUUCCCAGGUUCCUGGAAACUUCCUCAAAUAUUAUAAAUCAGAGCAGGCUUUUCUUAAUCUGACAGUACUAAUGGACGGCCAACAUGUACUAGAAGCCCCCAAGUAGACCUGAACAAAUUAGCAUGAAAUUGGUUCCUUUUCUAGUUAAAAACAAAAACAAAAACAAGAAACAAAAACCCAUGAGCUGGUUUCCUGAGUAUUGGAUUAGGACAAGGAACAGAAUGAUGUUACUUGGAUACUGGAACCUGAUUUUGUAACCGAGGCCAUAGCACGUAGAGUGACAUCCACUGUCAUGAUGAAUGGCUUGCUGGCAACAAGAGUGAUGGGGGUGACCAGAGCUUGUGGAAGAAUUUUUUUUCUUGCAGUACUGGGGAUCAAACUUGGGACCUUUGCAGUGAUCUACACUCCCUUCUGAACUUCUCAAGGUCUCUGUCUGCUCACAUUCACUUUGCUCCACUUCUCUGUAUUUUUCUACCUCUUCCUUUUGACUGGAUGGUCCAGAUUAGUUUCAAACUAGGCUGUAAUAUCUCCUAUCAUUUAAAAGGGUCGUUCUUGAGUACAUCUCUCCCCGCAAUCAUUUCAUUAUUUUUUUAUCACCUUAAAAAGUGUAAAUGCUUACAAGAGAAUUGGAGAAUUGUCUACAUAUGCUAUCUUCACAUCUUUAUAUCCCCCCCACUGGGGAUUGAAUCUCUCUCUCUUUUGUCUUCUUCCUCCUCCUCUCUUCUCCUUUUCUGUCUCCUUCUUCUUCCUCUUCUUUUCUCACUCUCUGUCUCUCCCGUUGUCUCCCUGUGUCUCUGUAUCUCUGUUUUUGUGUCCUUGUUUCUCUGUCUGUCUGUCUGUCUGUCUGUCUAUCUCUUCCUGUUUCUCUGUCUCUCUCCCCCUCCUUCCCUAUCAGG
rnacentral:lncRNA from 1 species